rnacentral:rRNA from 1 species
UACGGUCAAGGUAGGCGGAAUGUGUAAUGUAGCGGUGAAAUGCUUAGAUAUUACACAGAACACCGAUUGCGAAGGCAGCUUACUGGGCCAUUACUGACGCUGAUGCACGAAAGCGUGGGGAGCGAACAGGAUUAGAUACCCUGGUAGUCCACGCCGUAAACGAUGAUCACUCGCUGUUAGCGAUACACAGUUAGCGGCUAAGCAAAAGCAUUAAGUGAUCCACCUGGGGAGUACGGCCGCAAGGCUGAAACUCAAAGGAAUUGACGGGGGCCCGCACAAGCGGAGGAACAUGUGGUUUAAUUCGAUGAUACGCGAGGAACCUUACCUGGGCUUAAAUGUAGAGUGCAUGAAGUAGAAAUAUUUCUUUCCUUCGGGACUCUUUGCAAGGUGCUGCAUGGUUGUCGUCAGCUCGUGCCGUGAGGUGUCGGGUUAAGUCCCAUAACGAGCGCAACCCUUAUCGUUAGUUGCCAGCGGGUAAUGCCGGGAACUCUAACGAAACUGCCGGUGUAAACCGUGAGGAAGGUGGGGAUGACGUCAAAUCAGCACGGCCCUUAUGUCCAGGGCUACACACGUGUUACAAUGGCCGGUACAGAGGGCAGCUACCUGGAGACAGGAUGCGAAUCUCCAAAGCCGGUCUCAGUUCGGAUCGGAGUCUGCAACUCGACUCCGUGAAGCUGGAUUCGCUAGUAAUCGCGCAUCAGCCAUGGCGCGGUGAAUACGUUCCCGGGCCUUGUACACACCGCCCGUCAAGCCAUGGAAGUUGGGGGUACCUGAAGUCCGUAACCGUAAGGAGCGGCCUAGGGUAAAACUA